AUGAGCGCACCUGGAUUAAAGUCUUUCACGCCAAGUACAGUAAGGGGAAAAACGUUCAUUAAAAAGUAAUGUUUACAUUGAAUUGAACGGGUAAUAUUUGUUAUUUCCGUGACCAUGAACGUCUCAGGCGCGUUCACUUACCUUUAAAAACUUCUCCCUUGGCGGACAGCAGCAACGUGAUGGCGGCGAACCAACAUCGGACAACUUUAUCCAUGUCGACGGCGCCGUGGCGGCCGCGGGCUUGUUGGUUUAACUCUUCGGCUCUUGUCUUUGCAACUUGAUCGGCGCUGUCACUUUGGGCUUCAAACCGUCAAAACAGAACCUCCGUGGCUGUUGUCCUUUUGUGUUUUUUGGGAGAGGAGGGGUUCUGCGGGCUUGAGUUGCCCGGUGAAGCUGCUCCUCCUCGGUCUUCUGCUGGUGUCUACACUGGAAGGAGGACCGUGAGUGAGUCCUUAUUGUGCGUGGAUGGAGUGGUGCCGAAAAGAAGCAGCGGCUGUGUGCGCGCCAUGUGGCCGGAAGAGGGCGUCUUUGAGCCCUCCCUCUCCUUAACUCCCUGCCUCCGACUGGGUGGAACGCUCCAGACCCUUCAAACCAACCUGCUGAAGGCGCGGCCUGACGUCCAAGCAGCUAAAAAGGUGUUGGUGCUUGCAAAGACAGCAGCGGGGAAUCAUUGACUUCCUCAGGCAUGCAGAGGGACAAAAAAUGCAUGCCACCGAGGUAAAUAUGCCGUUCUAUUUUCAUGAGCUAUGCGAGCGGGUCCAGGUGCUCGUCGGUGGCCCGGGUCCAGCUGGAGGAUGUGGCCGACUCGCUUUAGCUGGUGUGCAGGCUGGCAUACUAACAGAGUAGGUAGGGGGCGAGUGUGGAAGCACCCUUAUUAGCCCCUUUUGCACUUGCCAGCAUUUUUCCAUGGAAUGGAGGGGCCAAGUCAAUUUGGCCAUUUUACAGCAGAGCCGGGACAAUUCCUGUGAUGCUAAUUAUCUACAGUCAUGGCCAAAAGUUAUGAGAAUGACACAAGUAUUGAUUUUCACAAUCUUAAAUCUUUUUGUCAGAUGUUACUGUUUUGUUGUUAUCACUUUUCAAUACCUGUACAGUAUAUUUUGCAGAAUAACAGUCUGUCCCUGAUGUUUUUCCUGGAGAGAAGUGGCUUCUAUACCUCACUGUGCAAGCAGAUGCAGUCACAACUGAACUGGUGGUGCCCCGAUCCCACACCUAAAUCAACUAUCGGAGACAGUCCAGAUGCUUGCUAGGCUUUCUGAGGUAACCAUGGUUAACAGAGGAAAAACAAAGAUUUCAAGCACCACCACUUUUUAACAGUCUUUUUAACAGUCUGUUAUUCUCACUCCAUCAGGAUGACAGAAUCAUAUCCAACCUUUGUCCUUGUCAACAUUCAGUUCUAAAGUGCAGUAGAAAUGGGUUUUUUGGGGGAUUAAGUUAAUUUUCACGACAAAGAAGGACUUUGUAAUUCAUUGCUAUUCAAUUUCUCACUCUUCUAGGGCCCUAUGAAAUCCGUUUUAAUUUUUUUUUUUUCCGUUUUUUUAACUUUUAGUUAUUUUACCAGCAUAAAGUGUGUAAGCUUGUGACAGUAAAUAAAAUGUCCAUUAAAUACAAAAAUCCGUACAUUAUUUGAUGCAA